rnacentral:rRNA from 1 species
GACAGAGGUGCCGAGCGUUAGGCGGAAUCACUGGGCUUAAAGCGUGUGUAGGCGGAGUGCUAAGUACCUUGUGAAAUCCCACAGCUCAACUGUGGAACUGCUUGGUAUACUGGUUCUCUUGAGCCACUUAGGGGCUACCGGAACAAAUGGUGGAGCGGUGAAAUGCGUAGAUAUCAUUUGGAACGCCAAUGGUGAAAACAGGUAGCUGGGAGUGUGCUGACGCUGAGACACGAAAGCCAGGGGAGCGAACGGGAUUAGAAACCCCAGUAGUCC